rnacentral:tRNA from 1 species
AAAGGGAGACCUAAUUCGGGUAUAAGACGAAAAAAUAGUAGUCGAAACCAAGAAUCAAUCCCAAAAGGUCGGAACGAGGUAUGUGGCUUUCAAACUAGGUUCUGGGUUCAUAAAAGACCUGAAUCAGGAACAAGGGCUAUUAGCUCAGGUGGUUAGAGCGCACCCCUGAUAAGGGUGAGGUCCCUGGUUCGAGUCCAGGAUGGCCCACCUGCACAGGUGGUAAAAACAAGAGAAGCGAGGAAUCAGCACCUUAUCUUACUUACAUAGUAAGAGAGAAUGCUGGCUCUGAGUAAAGAGUCCAGAGGAACCUUGAAAACUGCAUAGAGCUAGGUGAAAAAGCCAAAAAAGAAGGCCGCAAG